CGAUUCUCAGCCUGUGGAUCGGGACCCCCUGAGGACCAACCGACUCUUUCACAGGGGUUGCAUAUCAGAUAUCUGGAAUAACAGCAUUAAAAAAACUCCAGGAUUUGGAAGUUCAUCAGAACACAAGUGCUAUCUGAAUGCCCCAGGGGAAAACUACAGUAGUAACAGUUGCUCAUCCAUAAACGGAAGAACUGCUCUGAAUUUUGACAGACAAGUUGCACAGCAAGCAGAAAACCUUCAGAAAUCCUUCAGAAAGACAACACAACAGUAUAAAACGACCAUAAAAAAUAAAGGAGCAACUGUU